GCAGGGCUCUGCAGAGGGGCUCAAGUGAAUGUUUUGUGGGCUCUGCUCUACGUCCUGCCAAGCUGCUGCAAGCCCUUCCCUAGCCCUCAACAGGCCAGACCCAGAGCACCAGCUCAAGGCUGUCCCUCUCCUGCUGCCCAGGAGUUGUGCAGGUUCCCAGGACUGGUGCCAUCCCUGCCAAGCAGAGGAGGAAAAGCUCGAGCAGGGAGCAGGACUGAGGCAUCUCCCCACACUGCCUUAGGUGGGCAAAGCCAGGGGGCAGAGCAACUGCAGACAGAUGUGCAGGUUGUUCCCAGGGCCAGUACAAGCCCCAGCACCAGAACUCUGCCAACCCUGCUCUGGGCCCCUGGGUUAGGAAGAUGGAGGUUUGACCUGCCCCACAAGCAGCUGGACCUUCCUACCUCCUUCCCUGCAACUACACAGCCUCCCCCUCCCAUUCUGGUAGCAAGGGAAGGUGCAGAGCAAAACCAGGGGUCCCCAAAGCCCGGGAUCCCACAUUCCCAGCUGCUGGUGUUCAUAGGGGAAGGAGAGGAAACACCCUGCACACUCCCCCCACAGUCCCUUCCCAGUGGCCCACACCACUGUGCUGCCAGCACUGCAGGAUGGAUGGGACAUGGACACUGGAGCUGCACCAACUUUUCGAGGCACAGCCAGGCUGGGCAGAGUUCUGCUGGGCUUGGAGCAGCCACUGGCAGUCCAGGCCCAACCUGGGCACCUGUACUCACACUCCUCAGUCCCUGCCAGUCUGGCAGUGCUGCAGCCACGCUCCCUGCAGGACCCAGCAGUGUGGAGACAAGCCAGGGCUGUUUCUCCACCCUCCCAACCCUGCUCCAGCUCUGCUCUAAAUCCCAUGGGAAAGGCAGACAGCAGCCCGGGAUCCCACUGGGAUCAGGACUGAAGCCUAUACAUGGGGCUGCCAGGACAGCUACAGGCAGGUUUAUUCCCAGCACAGGGCUGAAGUGGGGAACACAAGAUGGGAUAUUUUCUGCUCAUUUAGCCAGGCCCUCAGACAUAAACUCCUGA
rnacentral:lncRNA from 1 species